rnacentral:snRNA from 1 species
GUGCUCGCUUCGACGGCACAUAUACUAAAAUUGGAACGAUACAGAGAAGAUUAGCAUGGCCCCUGCGCAAGAAUGACACGCAAAUUCGUGAAGCGUUCCACAUUUAU